rnacentral:lncRNA from 1 species
UGCACAUGCUCUCAGCGCUGGUGAAUGAGUGGUUGCUUGCACCUGUGGGAAAAAAAUAACCUAAUUACAAUUUGAUUCUGGUAUUAUGAACAAAGUUCACUGGUCAAAGAUAGUGAAAAUCCUAUUGCCGCUGUGUUAGACAUGAUGGUCAUUCUGGACAAAGAAAGAAGCACACUUCUCUGCUUCCAUCAAAAUCAUCUGAGACCACGUGGCUUUCUUUGGCCAGUAACUUGGGAGUCGGUACGUGAGUUUUGCUUGGCUGAGCACUUGGAGAAUGUCUACUGGCUUGAGAAGAGCCUCAAGUUUAGAGCAGCAUGCCUCAGAGUGUUGCCUGGAUACUCAGAGGAACUUGGGUGCAGCGGAAGGACUUGGAGCCAAACAGAAGUCACAGCCAUGAACGGGGA